rnacentral:tmRNA from 1 species
GUCAGUUGUUAGGAGGAGAGGAGACGGGACUGGGUUCAGAUAUUCAUAUAUGUCCAAAAUGAGCACAGAUUUCCCGGCAGGCCCCACCAGAUGUGCCACUGUGUUAUACUUUGAUGGUGGGAUUGCGGUGGGUAAGACCACCGCCCUGGAGGCUGCUGCUGAGUUUCUGCACAACAUACUUGUGAUCUCAGAACCUAUUCCUUACUGGACUUCCACUUUUGACAAAAAUGUCUGUCAGCAGAUCUACGAUGUGGUCAAGACCAAAGAAAAGGGGAAGAAGCACUCCAAAAAAGUGUUGCAAUGCCAAAUGGCCUUUGCCCAGCCUUUUCAUGCCACCCAGCACCUACUCCGCCGGACGUGUCUAGGUACCAAGGUCUCCGAUGGAACAUGUAACAAUUAUGUGUUGAUUGACAGGCAUAUGGUGUCUCCCACAGUCAUCUUUCCUUGCCUGUUUUUCAGAUUGGGGGUGUUGAGGUUCUGUGAUUUGUUAUCACUAUUGUCUGUGUUUUCAGCACAAAAAUUUGAUAAUGUUGUCUUGUUUAAACUCCAUCCCAAAGUAGCUGCGACCCGAGUCAAGGAGAGGGGGAGAAACCCAGAAGGUGUGAUCAACCACACGUACCUGCAACUCCUCAAUGAAGUAUUGGAUGCCAUUUUUUGUGCCUGGGAACUGUUGGCGAUCGUGCCUCCUGAAGUUAUUGUGGAUGCUAUGCUUUCCCAGACUUCAGUUAAGACUGUGUUUCAGAAGGCUGGCUUUGUUGCACCCAGGGCAAGGCUUAUGGAACAGAUGUUUAGAGAUAGUAUUUUUAAUGACUUGAGAGAAAAUGUGCGUCAGUUGCCACUACAUGGAUCAUCCAUCCCAACCUUGCUACAUAAAUUUUGUUAUGAACUAUCCAAACCACAUAUGGUUAAACUAGAUGCUGGACAGUUUCCUAACGAUGUUCCCGGUUUGUGGACUCACAUAUAUACCCAAAUACUCACAGACCCGGCUAUUAAAACAUGCGACCUGAAAUGGAAUAUCCUAGAAAAGGGCAUAUCUGGUGGAGACCCUCAGUAGUAAUAAAUAGCCAAGCACAAUGGUGACAUGUUUGAAAAAUUUGUUUCUUUACUGUAUCUUUGUGUCCAUGAUGGUGUGGUUGGUGCAUGGGGUAGGCGAUCGUGAUAGUAAGGGCGAGGGGGCCACAAUAAAGGUUAAAAGAAAUGAUAA